CAGGGUUCGAUUCCGGAGAAGGAGCUUGAGAAUUGGCUACUACAUCUAAGGAAGGCAGCAGGCGCGCAAAUUACCCAAUCCCGAUUCGGGGAGGUAGUGACAAAAAUAACAAUACCGGGCCUUUUUGGGCUUGGUAAUUGGAAUGAGGGAGAGUUAAACGGACCAUCGAGUAUCCAUUGGAGGGCAAGUCUGGAGCCAGCAGCUGCGGUAAUACCAGCUCCAAUAGCGUAUAUUAAAGUUGUUGCAGUUAAAAAGCUCGUAGUUGGACUUGUGUGCGCUGUCCGCGGGUGGCCUGCGCCCAAAAGGGCGUUUCGGUUCGGCCCCGGUGGCGCCUUGAAAUCUGCAGCUGGGGGGACGUUGGCCUUAACUGGUCGGCGACCGCACGCCGGCUGCUCGGUUACUGUGAGAAAAUUAGAGUGUUCAAGGCAGGCAUUGGGUGCAAUUGAAUACAUUAGCAUGGAAUAAUAAAAUAUGGCUCCUGCCGUAUUUUGUUGGUUUUGACUGGUGGGAGUAAUGAUUGAUAGGGACGGUUGGGGGUGCUAGUAUUGAGCGGCCAGAGGUGAAAUUCAUGGAUUCGCUCAAGACUAACUUAUGCGAAAGCAUUCACCAAGGACGUCCUCUUUAAUCAAGAACGAAAGUUGGGGGAUCGAAGACGAUCAGAUACCGUCGUAGUCUCAACCAUAAACUAUGUCGACUUGGGAUCGGCGGUAGUUUUUUCAUUAAGACACUGUCGGGACCACGGGAGAAAUCAAAGUGUCUGGACUCUGGGGGAAGUAUGGUCGCAAGGCUGAAACUUGAAGGAAUUGACGGAAGGGCACCACCAGGAGUGGAGCCUGCGGCUUAAUUUGACCCAACACGGGGAAACUUACCAGGUCCAGAGAUGUAGAGGAUUGACAGAUUGAAGCUCUUUUUUGAUCACUUCGGUGGUGGUGCAUGGCCGUUCUUAGUUGGUGGAGUGAUUUGUCUGUUAAUUCCGUUAACGAACGAGACCUCAGCCUGCUAGUGUAGUCGGCUGGAUUGCCUUUGGCGAUCCGUGAUUUCGACUUCUUAGAGGGACAAUCGACGCGCAGUCGAUGGAAGUUUGAGGCAAUAACAGGUCUGUGAUGCCCUUAGAUGUUCUGGGCCGCACGCGCGCUACACUGCUGGGCUCAGCGAGUUUUACUUGGCCGAGAGGCCCGGUUAAUCUUGUGAAAUCCCAGCGUGCUUGGGCUCGCCUCCUACAACUGGAGGCGCCAACGAGGAAUUCCUAGUAGACGCAGGUCAUCAACCUGCAUCGAUUACGUCCCUGCCCUUUGUACACACCGCCCGUCGUUCCAUAAGAGUGAGGCAUCCGGUGAAUUCUCGGGAGAGCCUGGGCGUGGCCAGCAAUGGUCUGCUCGGGUUUGAACUUGCAUAAACUUGGUGCCUAUGAUUAGGGAAAAGUCGUAACAAGG
rnacentral:rRNA from 1 species